rnacentral:misc_RNA from 1 species
UCUCCGUAGGUGAACCUGCGGAGGGAUCAUUACAGAGUUCUCGCCCUCGCGGGUAGAUCUCCCACCCACUGUUAUCGUUACUGUGUUGCUUUGGCGGGCCGCCGGGCCCCGCUCGGCCGCCGGCUCCGGCUGGCGCGCGCCCGCCAGAGGCCCAGCAAACUCUGAAUGUUAGUGUCGACUGAGUACUAUAUAAUAGUUAAAACUUUCAACAACGGAUCUCUUGGUUCUG